CCUCUUCCCAGAUGGUAACACUGUGAGAUAUCACUGCAACAUGAAACCUUGUUUGGUGAUGUGUUGUUGAUGUAGAUGCUCACACCCCGACCUCUUGUAAGCCUCAUCCCAGAUGGUAACACU